rnacentral:rRNA from 1 species
GGAAACGAUAGCUAAUACCGCAUAAUAGUAGAUGUUGCAUGACAUUUGCUUAAAAGGUGCAAUUGCAUCACUACCAGAUGGACCUGCGUUGUAUUAGCUAGUUGGUGAGGUAACGGCUCACCAAGGCAACGAUACAUAGCCGACCUGAGAGGGUGAUCGGCCACACUGGGACUGAGACACGGCCCAG